GAUUCAAACAGCGGAUAAUACAAGCCAAAGUUUUCUUUCUGUGGAAAAGUUGAUGCGCCUUUUAAGAAGUGAACAACCAAGUUAUUUGCCUGGAAAAGUCUCCUGAAAUACUGAAGUUAUGCUAAAGAAGGAGAAGAGAAAGGAAGCUGCAGUCCCUGUAUAACUCCUAAAUUUUUAAUUUGGAGUUCCUCUUCUUCGGUGCAACAAUCUUUCUGCAUGCACAGAUCCAUGUGGCACUCAUCUCAUCAUUCUGAGGGAAGAAAGAUGCAUAGGGAAUGUUGCAUGUGGUUAUUUCUAACCCACAGAAAACAAUAAAGCACGAGAGAAAAGAGGAUGGCAGUUUACCCAGGAAACAUAGGUUGUGCAAAGCUUUGCAAUGAUACUCUCAAUUCAGAGCAAUGAAGAACAGAAUGCUGUCUUCCCAUAAUGAUGGCAUUCAAUUAUCACUAGACUUACAAGACUACAGAAAAUUUCUCAAGAACCAGUAAGGAUCAGACAGAGCCAAUGACAAUACUGAAGAAGCUUGCCAGUGGAGAAUGAAAGCUCAGUUACACAAAUUACGUUGUUGAACCAGUGCCAGAAAUAAAAUGUGAUGGACAAACUCAUUAAUUAUGAGCGUGAACCAGACAAAACUGAGAAUAAGGUGGGAAUUCCUUCAUAAUCUGUCCCUACUUAGUUGCACCAUAACCAUAAAUAUUGUAAGAGGCAAAAGAGUGGUAAAAAGCUCAUUAACACUGAGAUUAUUCUUGUUAAUUCAUCUGAAUGAGACCUUAACGUACAAAAUAACUUGAAUUACAGAAAAUGUUGAAAAGUUGUAUUUCUUGCACAUCUAAGAUUGAGAGGGAGAUAUAUGUGUGAAUUGUCACGAAAGGCCAUCUUCAAGAUAUCACAAUCAAUCUGUAGAUUAAGGUCAGCCAAUAUAAUAUUCCAACCUGAACCUUUGAAAACUGAACAGGAGUGAGUAUAAUAAUCUCUAGAAAAGCAUCAGUUAAGAUUCUAGCUUGGCCAUCUCCAUCAUCUGUGUCCUUUAUUUCUAAUAACCUUCAAGUUUUCUAUAUAUGACAUUAUCUUUCCAGUCUCCUCGGAAAAAUUGCUCUUCACUUCAAUUAGUUUGAAUCAGUUUAUUUUGCUUUCCACCAAGAGCUGAAAUUUUUCUAAACCUGCACACUCACUUAUGAAGUCCCUAGAGAUUACACGUUACUUGUGUUCCUUAGUCUUCAUUCCUUGUUCUUAUCCUGUUUACUCUUCUAUGCAUCAAUUCUGUGAGAGGCAAAACCAAUUUUUAUGUGUGUAAAAGGGAAAAAAACAUAUGUGCAUAACUAAUGACUUCUGAAAUUUAUUAUGACAAGAACCCUCCCACUCAGAAGAAUUAUGAAGGCUUGUUGUAAAAAAUAAGAAAAUAAGUCUUUGAUAAUGACAGACAACAAUUAGGUUGCUUGGACUUCAGAAUUUUAUUCUAAAUAAACCUUCUAAACUGAACUUACUACCCCAAACCUUGCCUCAAUCUGCCUGUGAUAGUAAGGUAAGAUUUAUUCAAUUCACCAAGUCAGCUAAGAUCAGGUUAACUCUUGCCUUCUCAAAGUGUCCCACUAUCAAGAUAUCCAAGGUAAUCACACCUCUCCUGCAACAAAAAUUUACAAAUACAGCAAGAAUGGUAUAAGAACAAACAUGUGUCCUUACAUUGGUCCUAUUGUGUCCAGAAUUGGUGGGUUCUUGGUCUCACUGACUUCAAGAAUGAAGCCGCGGACCCUCACGGUGAGUGUUACAGUUCUUAAAGAUGGUGUGUCUGCAAUUGUUCAUUUUUUCCAGUGGGUUCAUGGUCUGGCUGGCCUCAGUAGUGAAGCUGCAGGCCUUCAUCUUUAGUGUCACAGUUCCUAAAGGUGGCACGUCCAGAGUUGUUCGUUCCUCCCAUCCAGAGUUAUUCGCCCCUCCUGGUGGGUGGAUUCAUGAUCUCGCUGGCUUCAGGAGUGAAGCUGCAGACCUUCUCGGUGAGAGUUACAGCUCAUAAAGAUGGUGCAGACCGAAAGAAUAAGCAGCAGCAAGAUUUAUUGCAAAGAGCAAAAGAAGCAAAGCUUCCCCAUCACGGAA
rnacentral:lncRNA from 1 species